rnacentral:ncRNA from 1 species
AAUUCCAACUCAGGAAAGAGGUACAGCCGCCUCACCUGAAAUCGAGUCUUGGGUCUGUGAAGGUAACGACACAGACUAAGCGUAGAUAGAGCGAAUCUAGGCCAUAACGUAAGUGAAGCGAUUGAGCCUCGUUAGUACGUCCGGAGGCCGACAAGGUCGAAUACUUGGAAGGCUAUAGUAGUUUCCUGAUAAAGGCGAGGGAAAUGGAGACUCCGGCGGGGUCUGAGAGC